AACGCGAAGAACCUUACCUACCCUUGACAUCCCACGAAGGCUGUAGAGAUACGGCUGUGCCGAAAGGAACGUGGAGACAGGUGCUGCAUGGCUGUCGUCAGCUCGUGUUGUGAGAUGUUGGGUUAAGUCCCGUAACGAGCGCAACCCUUAUCCUUAGUUACCAACAUGUAAUGGUGGGGACUCUAAGGAGACUGCUGGUGAUGAACCGGAGGAAGGCGGGGACGACGUCAAGUCAUCAUGGCCUUUAUGGGUAGGGCUACACACGUGCUACAAUGGGCAGUACAGAGGGUAGCCAACCCGCGAGGGGGAGCCAAUCCCAGAAAGCUGCUCGUAGUCCGGAUUGAAGUCUGCAACUCGACUUCAUGAAGUCGGAAUCGCUAGUAAUCGCGAAUCAGAAUGUCGCGGUGAAUACGUUCCCGGGCCUUGUACACACCGUACGUC
rnacentral:rRNA from 1 species